GAUGUCACUCUACCUCACUUUCCCCGUGGUAAUGUUCUGGAUCUCCAAUCAGGCUGAGUGGUUCGAGGACUAUGUUGUCCAGCGCAAGGUGGGUAUCAAGAAAGUGUUGGCUGGAUAAUUCCUGGGGGAAAGGAGGGUGUGAGGCCCUAACUUGCUAUUGGGGUCCAUUGUCUGCCUCCCAUGAGCCAACCCUGUUCUGGAUGUGGGGCUCUGGAUUCUCCUGCCUUAUGUUCUCACCUGUGACUUUGUUCCACAGAGGGAGCUGUGGCCACGAGAGAAAGAGGGCCAGGUCAGUAACCUGUUCUCCCUAAGGGACUGGGUCACUUUAUCCCAAAUGAAGAUUUCACCCUCAGCCCUAGAUAGGGAAGUGGAAGUGGAAGGAGUAGGAGUUCCAGACUAGCCUGGGACCUUGUCUCCGUAAAAGUUUCUUGCCGUUUGUGAUGGUAUAUACCCAUGAUCACAGGAGAGGUAGCCGUAAAUCCAGCAUUCUAGCACUCAGGAGAUGGAUGCAGGAGGAUGGGGAGGAUUCUGGCUGUUCUGUGCCACACAGUGAGCUCAAGGCUAGCCUGUAGUAUAUGAGACCCCAUCUUAAAAAGAGGGGGAGGGCACAAAUGGUUUCGUAAAUGACCUUUUCCCUGAGGGAUAAAGCUGAACUCACGUGUGUAUGGUGGUUGUGAUUGGCGUGGGGUCCCUAGUGUGAAUACUGGACUCUAAAGCCAAAGGGAGGGUAACGUGAGUA
rnacentral:lncRNA from 1 species